rfam:Mesonia phycicola strain DSM 21425 genome assembly, contig: Ga0070602_102
CAAGGUGGUUAUAGCAACGGGGCUCACCUCUUCCCAUUCCGAACAGAGAAGUUAAGCCCGUUAGCGCAGAUGGUACUGCUUUUUGUGGGAGAGUAUGUCGCCGCCUUCU